rnacentral:tRNA from 1 species
AAGGGAGACCUAAUUCAGGUAGGAGACGAAAAAAAAGUAGUCGCUACCAAGAAUCAAUCCCAAAAGGUCGGAGCGAGGCGAAAUUGGCUUUCAAACUAGGUUCUGGGUUCACACAAGACCUGAAUCAGGAACAAGGGCUAUUAGCUCAGGUGGUUAGAGCGCACCCCUGAUAGGGGUGAGGUCCCUGGUUCGAGUCCAGGAUGGCCCACCUGUACAGGUGGCAAAAAGAAAGAAAAGAAGCGAGGAAUCAGCACCUUAUCUUACUGACAUAGUAAGAGAGAAUGCUGGCUCUGAGUAAAGAGUCCAGAGGAACCUUGAAAACUGCAUAGAGCUAGGUGGAAAAGCUAAAAAAGAAGACCGCAA